rnacentral:lncRNA from 1 species
UAUAAAGUAAAAAUGUAUAAAACCCAGUUUUAUUUCUAUAUACUAAGAACACAAAAUUAAAAAAUGAGCAUUUUUUAGGAAUGAUGAAAUUUUGUAUUAGCACCAAAAAAUCUAGGAAUAAUUAUUUUUUUAAGAUAUGCAAGACUUCUGUCUUCCACUUUAACAUGUAAAGAACUUGGAAGUCCUCACUUCUGCACUCCAAACCAGUAAAAGCUGAAAAAACAGACAGUCAGCAACUCUUCUUAGCCCCAUCAGAGAAUUGAAGUCACAGGGCAAACUGCCACUCUCAAUCUGUGGAGAUAGAUGAAUACUGAAAAUUACAUACUCCUGGGAAUAGAAACCAACACUGGAGCCAGCAAUUAGGAGGAAAACUUAAGAAUAAUUGAAUAAUUGCCAGAAACUGAACAUGAACUAGGUUGAGCAAUAAAAAAGUUCUAGGACACAGCCUUGGAUAUGCCAUACACUUUCAUGAAAUUUGCCUCCAGGAGCCCUACCAGGUACCUUAGCUGAGUAUCAGAAAUAAAAUCUACUCAUGCUUUCAGCAAAGGGAGGAGAAAAGUAAACAUUUGAAAUACACCAAUAGCAUUCUUCUUAACAAAGGCCUGCCUUCAAGAAAAACUACUUUACUAGAACCUAACAGAUGUGAGGUAAAGGAAAUACCAAACUCCAGCCUCUUGGACUUUAAGCAUUGGGGAAGGGAGAUAUCCAAGUCCAGCCUUCUUUAGCCUUUCUGUCUAAAGAAUCUUGAAGAAUCAAGAAUCUCGUUUCUGGGGGAAACAAGCUGAGAAGCAAUUGUGAAAGUCACAGACCAGAGGAGACUGCCAAUAAAAGACCAAGAUCUAAUCAUAGGAUUAUAGAAUGCUUUUCUGCUCCCACAUACCUUACCACCACUUCACCAAGGCCCAUGGAUAAUGGGUUACAGAUGGAAAAACUGCAAUUCUCAGCUUCCAUUAAAGAAGUAUUUUCUAGGGAAAGCCAAAGACAAUAGGGGAGACCAAAAAAGGAAAAUAAAGGAAAUUUUAGCCUGUGACACCAGCUACAAUAAAACAGAAAACACAGUCUAACUCGUCUCCAGUUGAACAUAAAACAUCAUAAUAAAAACGUAUAUACUUCAGUUCUUUUACCUGAUAUAUCAUGUCUAGCUUUAAACAAAAAAUUAUAAGGCAUGAUAAAAGCAAAACACACAGGCUGAAGACACAAAGCAAGCAUCAAGACCAGAUGCAGAUGUGGCAGAAAUUUUGGAAUUUUCAAACUGGGAAUUUAAAAUAAAUAUAAUAAGGGCCCUAGUGAAAAAGUAGACUACAUGAAAGAACAUAUACAUAAUGUAUGCAGAGAUUAAACCUCUAAGAAAUAAUCAAAAUGAAAUGUUAUAAAUCAAAAGCACUAUAACAGAAAUUAAGAAUGCCUUUGAUGGGCUCUAUAGUAGACUGGACACAGCCAAAGAAAGAAAUCAGUGAACUUGAAGAUAUGGCAAUAGAAACUUCCCAAACUGAAAGGCAAAGAGAAAAAUAAUGAAAAAAGUGGAACAGAGUAUUUUAAAAACUGUCAAAAAUCAAAGGUAUAACAUACUCGUAAUGGGAAUACCAGAUAUAUUGCAGAAUAAGGAGACAUGGAGGGAAAAAUAAAUAUUUGAAGUAAUAUAGGCUGAGAAUUUUCAAAAAUUAAUAACAGAAACCAAACCACAGGUAGAGAAAGCUCAGAGAACAUGAAGCAGGAUACAUACCCAAAAGUCUACACCUAGACAUAUUUAAAUUGCAGAAAAUCAAAGACAAAGAGAAAAUUUGGAAAGAAGCCAGAGGGAGAAAAACCCACCUUAACUGUGGAGGAACAGGUAAAAUAUUACGUAGGACUUCUCUUCAUAAGCCAUGCAAGCAAGAAGAGAAUGGAGUGAAAUAUUUAAUGUGUUCAAAGCAAACAAACAAACAAAAAACCUCACCAACCUAAAAUUUUUAUACAGCAAAAUUAUACU